CUUCGGUGUGACGGAGCGGCGAACGGGUGAGUAACACGUGAGCAACCUGCCCUGAAGACCGGAAUAGCCCGGGGAAACCCGGUGUAAUGCCGGAUAUCCUCCCGAUACCGCAUGGUAUGGGAGAAAACGCCUUAGUGCUUCAGGAUGGGCUCACGGCCUAUCAGCUAGUUGGUGAGGUAACGGCUCACCAAGGCGACGACGGGUAGCUGGUCUGAGAGGACGAUCAGCCACACUGGGACUGAGACACGGCCCAGACUCCUACGGGAGGCAGCAGCGGGGAAUAUUGCGCAAUGGGCGAAAGCCUGACGCAGCGACGCCGCGUGGGGGAUGAAGGCCUUCGGGUUGUAAACCCCUUUCAGGAGGGAAGAAAUUGACGGUACCUCCAAAAGAAGCCCCGGCCAACUACGUGCCAGCAGCCGCGGUAAGACGUAGGGGGCGAGCGUUGUCCGGAAUCAUUGGGCGUAAAGGGCUCGUAGGCGGCUCGGUAAGUCGAACGUGAAAUCCCGGAGCUCAACUCCGGAACUGCGUUCGAUACUGCCGUGGCUAGAGUCAGGUAGAGGAGAGUAGAAUUCCCGGUGUAGCGGUGGAAUGCGCAGAUAUCGGGAGGAAUACCAUUUAGCGAAGGCGGCUCUCUGGGCCUGAACUGACGCUGAGGAGCGAAAGCGUGGGUAGCAAACAGGAUUAGAUACCCUGGUAGUCCACGCCGUAAACGUUGGGCACUAGGCGUGGUGGCCUGAUCAAGGGCUGCUGUGCCGAC
rnacentral:rRNA from 1 species